rnacentral:rRNA from 1 species
UCAACGGCCGCGGUAUCCUGACCGUGCAAAGGUAGCACAAUAAUGAGCCUCUUAAUUAGAGGAUAGAAUGAAUGAAAUAACAAGAUAAAUUCUGUCUCUUAUAUAAAAAUCGAAACUUAUCAUUAGGUGAAAAAGCCUAUAUUCCACACAAAGACAAAAAGACCCUUAAAGCUUAAAUAAAACAUAAUUACAUUUAUUAUCUAAAUUUAGUUGGGGCGACUAUAAGAAUUAAACACUUUGUACAUAUAGGGAAAUGUUCCAAUCAUAAUAGCUACUCACAAACAAGUAAGCUACUUUAGGGAUAACAGGCCAGUACUUCCUAAGAGUACGUAUCAACGGAAGUGUUCAGCACCUCGAUGUUGGCUUAGGGUUCCUACUUUAUGCAGAAGUAAUUUAAGGCGGUUUGUUCAACCUUUAAUCCC